GAUGAACGCUGGCGGCGUGCUUAACACAUGCAAGUCGAACGAUGAAGCUCAGCUUGCUGGGUGGAUUAGUGGCGAACGGGUGAGUAACACGUGAGUAACCUGCCCUUAACUCUGGGAUAAGCCUGGGAAACUAGGUCUAAUACCGGAUAGGAGCGCCUACCGCAUGGUGGGUGUUGGAAAGAUUUAUCGGUUUUGGAUGGACUCGCGGCCUAUCAGCUUGUUGGUGAGGUAAUGGCUUACCAAGGCGACGACGGGUAGCCGGCCUGAGAGGGUGACCGGCCACACUGGGACUGAGACACGGCCCAGACUCCUACGGGAGGCAGCAGUGGGGAAUAUUGCACAAUGGGCGAAAGCCUGAUGCAGCGACGCCGCGUGAGGGAUGACGGCCUUCGGGUUGUAAACCUCUUUCAGUAGGGAAGAAGCGAAAGUGACGGUACCUGCAGAAGAAGCACCGGCUAACUACGUG
rnacentral:rRNA from 1 species